UCGAGCGGUAGCACAGAGAAGCUUGCUUCUUGGGUGACGAGCGGCGGACGGGUGAGUAAUGCAUAGGAAUCUGCCCGAUAGUGGGGGAUAACCUGGGGAAACCCAGGCUAAUACCGCAUACGUCCUACGGGAGAAAGGGGGCUUCGGCUCCCGCUAUUGGAUGAGCCUAUGUCGGAUUAGCUAGUUGGUGAGGUAAAGGCUCACCAAGGCGACGAUCCGUAGCUGGUCUGAGAGGAUGAUCAGCCACAUCGGGACUGAGACACGGCCCGAACUCCUACGGGAGGCAGCAGUGGGGAAUAUUGGACAAUGGGCGCAAGCCUGAUCCAGCCAUGCCGCGUGUGUGAAGAAGGCCUUCGGGUUGUAAAGCACUUUCAGCGAGGAAGAACGCCUAGCGGUUAAUACCCGCUAGGAAAGACAUCACUCGCAGAAGAAGCACCGGCUAACUCCGUGCCAGCAGCCGCGGUAAUACGGAGGGUGCAAGCGUUAAUCGGAAUUACUGGGCGUAAAGCGCGCGUAGGUGGCUUGAUAAGCCGGUUGUGAAAGCCCCGGGCUCAACCUGGGAACGGCAUCCGGAACUGUCAAGCUAGAGUGCAGGAGAGGAAGGUAGAAUUCCCGGUGUAGCGGUGAAAUGCGUAGAGAUCGGGAGGAAUACCAGUGGCGAAGGCGGCCUUCUGGACUGACACUGACACUGAGGUGCGAAAGCGUGGGGUAGCAAACAGGAUUAGAUACCCUGG
rnacentral:rRNA from 1 species